AGUAACGCGUGGAUAGCCUGCCUCACACUGGGGGAUAACAGUUAGAAAUGACUGCUAAUACCGCAUAAGCGCACAGUACCGCAUGGUACAGUGUGAAAAACUCCGGUGGUGUGAGAUGGAUCCGCGUCUGAUUAGCCAGUUGGCGGGGUAACGGCCCACCAAAGCGACGAUCAGUAGCCGACCUGAGAGGGUGACCGGCCACAUUGGGACUGAGACACGGCCCAA
rnacentral:rRNA from 1 species